rnacentral:miRNA from 10 species
GUGCAUAGCAGGCGUGUGUGUGUGUGUGUGUGUGUGUGUGUAUGUGUACACACGCUUGCAUGCACACCUUCCCCCUUCCCCACCCUCAGG